rnacentral:rRNA from 1 species
GAUGAACGCUGGCGGCGUGCCUAAUACAUGCUAGUCGAGCGAAUGGAUAAAGAGCUUGCUCUUAUGAAGUUAGCGGCGGACGGGUGAGUAACACGUGGGUAACCUGCCCAUAAGACUGGGAUAACUCCGGGAAACCGGGGCCAAUAUCGAAUAAUAUUUUGAACCGCAAGGUACGAAAUUAAAAGGCGGCUUCGGCUGUACAUUAUGGAUGGACCGGCGUCGCAUUAGCUAGUUGGUGAGGUAACGGCUCACCAUGGCAACGUGGCGUAGCCGACCUGAGAGGGUGAUCGGCCACACUGGGACUGAGACACGGCCCAGACUCCUACGGGAGGCAGCAGUAGGGAAUCUUCCGCAAUGGACGAAAGUCUGACGGAGCAACGCCGCGUGAGUGAUGAAGGCUUUCGGGUCGUAAAACUCUGUUGUUAGGGAAGAACAAGUGCUAGUUGAAUAAGCUGGCACCUUGACGGUACCUAACCAGAAAGCCACGGCUAACUACGUGCCAGCCGCCGCAGUAA